CACAGGCAGGGAAGGUGUGGGCAGAGCUGUUCUGCAGGCAGAGAGAAGCUGGAGAGAGGUGAGACAGAUGCACCUGGCCAUGUGGACUGUCCUGUGGGGGGGGUUCUUGCCCAUUGUAGCAGUCACUGGCCAGGUGGCCUUGGAGCAACACCCCAGGGAAGUGACUGUGGGAGAGGGAGAUAAAGUCACCUUGCAGUGCAGCAUGACACGAGGUGUUAUGUGGAAUUACUACAUGUACUGGUACCGUCAGGACCCACGUGGCACUCUGGAAUGGAUUUACAUGGAAGGUGAUAUCUAUGGAGAAGGUUUCCAAGAUCACUUUAAGGGAUCAGUGGAGAGCUCCAAGAACAGAGUCACAUUGCAGAUCCUGGCAGCAAAGCCAGGGGAUGCAGCAACGUAUUACUGUGGAGCAAGAAUCACCGUGGAGCAGCUCUGCAGCAGAGUGGAACAAAAACUGACUGACAGGAGCACAGAUCUCUCAGCAUUUCUUUCCAGCAGCUGCUCCCUAGGGGCUGUUGUUGGGAAAUGGCAGGUGCAGGAAACAGACCUCUGGCUUGGUGGCAGUCCAGGCAGUGGAGGGAAGUGUGGUAGAAGGGCUGGUACCAUUUAUGAUGCAGGAGGAUCUUUUCUGGGAACUUCAGAGGUAGUUCAGGGAAGUGCAGUUUUAGUGCACUUUGUCUGAGCCUCUCUCCAGCACAGCCCCAUUUUUCCUCUGUGGCUUGGCCAUGGGAUCGUGGAGGUGUGUUGUGGUAUCUUCCAGUUCCAGUUCCGUGGAGGAUGGAGCCAGGCUGUUCAGGAAAGACAGAGCAACAGAUGACAUUGCUCUGGGUGGCUGCUACAGAUCACCUGAUCGGGAAGAAGUAGAGAAGGUGUGGAGGGUUGACCUUGUCUGUCCACCCGGUGCCCACCAAAACACUCCUCUCAGUCCCCCUCCUCAACUGGACAGGGGGAAAAAUUGGAAUGAAAAGCUUAUGGAGCAAGAUAAGGACAAGGAGAUGUCCCAGA